UGAAAUAAAUCUUUUUAAACUACACGGAUGGCAAUCUAUUUGUUAUGGCAAUCUACCAGGCAGAUAUAUAAGUUAUGGCAAUCUACCAGGCAGAAUUGUAACAUGACAUUGCAUAUUAAUACAUAAAACAAAUGUCUUCUGCAUCUUUAAGGACCCUUAUA